GGAUGACACUGACGCUCAUGUACGAAAGCGUGGGUAGCAAACAGGAUUAGAUACCCUGGUAGUCCACGCCCUAAACGAUGUCAACUGGUUGUUGGGGGAGUGAAAUCCCUUAGUAACGAAGCUAACGCGUGAAGUUGACCGCCUGGGGAGUACGGUCGCAAGAUUAAAACUCAAAGGAAUUGACGGGGACCCGCACAAGCGGUGGAUGAUGUGGAUUAAUUCGAUGCAACGCGAAAAACCUUACCUACCCUUGACAUGUCCGGAAUCCUGCAGAGAUGCGGGAGUGCCCGAAAGGGAAUCGGAACACAGGUGCUGCAUGGCUGUCGUCAGCUCGUGUCGUGAGAUGUUGGGUUAAGUCCCGCAACGAGCGCAACCCUUAUCAUUAGUUGCUACGCGAGGGCACUCUAAUGAGACUGCCGGUGACAAACCGGAGGAAGGUGGGGAUGACGUCAAGUCCUCAUGGCCCUUAUGGGUAGGGCUUCACACGUCAUACAAUGGUCGGUACAGAGGGUUGCCAAGCCGCGAGGCGGAGCCAAUCCCAGAAAGCCGAUCGUAGUCCGGAUUGUUCUCUGCAACUCGAGAGCAUGAAGUCGGAAUCGCUAGUAAUCGCGGAUCAGCAUGUCGCGGUGAAUACGUUCCCGGGUCUUGUACACACCGCCCGUCACACCAUGGGAGUGGACUGGUCCCGAAGUGCGUGAGCUAACCCCUUGUGGGAGGCAGCGUCCUAAGGAAUGGUCGGUGACUGGGGUGAAGUCGUAACAAGGUAGCCGUAGGGGAACCUGCGGCUGGAUCACCUCCUU
rnacentral:rRNA from 1 species